rnacentral:rRNA from 1 species
AGGUGGUCAGGUAGAGAAUACCAAGGCGCUUGAGAGAACUCGGGUGAAGGAACUAGGCAAAAUGGUGCCGUAACUUCGGGAGAAGGCACGCUGGCAUGUAGGUGAAGUCCCUUGCGGAUGGAGCUGAAGCCAGUCGAAGAUACCAGCUGGCUGCAACUGUUUAAUAAAAACACAGCACUGUGCAAACACGAAAGUGGACGUAUACGGUGUGACGCCUGCCCGGUGCUGGAAGGUUAAUUGAUGGGGUCAGCCGCAAGGCGAAGCUCUUGAUCGAAGCCCCAGUAAACGGCGGCCGUAACUAUAACGGUCCUAAGGUAGCGAAAUUCCUUGUCGGGUAAGUUCCGACCUGCACGAAUGGCGUAAUGAUGGCCAGGCUGUCUCCACCCGAGACUCAGUGAAAUUGAACUCGCUGUGAAGAUGCAGUGUACCCGCGGCAAGACGGAAAGACCCCGUGAACCUUUACUAUAGCUUGACACUGAACAUUGAGCCUUGAUGUGUAGGAUAGGUGGGAGGCUUUGAAGCGUGGACGCCAGUCUGCGUGGAGCCAUCCUUGAAAUACCACCCUUUAAUGU